rnacentral:rRNA from 1 species
CCUACGGGAGGCUGCAGUGAGGAAUAUUGGUCAAUGGACGGAAGUCUGAACCAGCCAUGCCGCGUGCAGGAAGACGGCUCUAUGAGUUGUAAACUGCUUUUGUACAAGGGUAAACCUGAAUACGUGUAUUCAGCUCAACGUCCUGUACGAAUAGGAUCGGCUCACUCCGUGCCAGCAGCCGCGGUAAUACGGAGGAUACAAGCGUUAUCCGGAUGUUUUGGGUUUAAAGGGUGCGUAGGCGGAGUGAUAAGUUAGAGGUGAAAUGUCCGAGCUUAACUCGGGAACUGCCUCUAAUACUGUUGAUCUAGAGAGUAGAUGCGGUAGGCGGAAUGUAUGGUGUAGCGGUGAAAUGCUUAGAGAUCAUACAGAACACCGAUUGCGAAGGCAGCUUACCAAUCUAUAUCUGACGUUGAGGCACGAAAGCGUGGGGAGCAAACAGGAUUAGAUACCCCAGUAGUC